GAUGAACGCUAGCUACCGGUUUAACACAUGCAAGUCGAGGGGCAUCAGGAAGAAAGCUUGCUUUCUUUGCUGGCGACCGGCGCACGGGUGAGUAACACGUAUCCAACCUGCCCUUUACUCGGGGAUAGCCUUUCGAAAGAAAGAUUAAUACCCGAUAGUAUAAUGAUUCCGCAUGGUUUCCUUAUUAAAGGAUUCCGGUAAAGGAUGGGGAUGCGUUCCAUUAGGUUGUUGGUGAGGUAACGGCCCACCAAGCCUUCGAUGGAUAGGGGUUCUGAGAGGAAGGUCCCCCACAUUGGAACUGAGACACGGUCCAAACUCCUACGGGAGGCAGCAGUGAGGAAUAUUGGUCAAUGGGCGCUAGCCUGAACCAGCCAAGUAGCGUGAAGGAUGAAGGCUCUAUGGGUCGUAAACUUCUUUUAUAUAAGAAUAAAGUGCAGUAUGUAUACUGUUUUGUAUGUAUUAUAUGAAUAAGGAUCGGCUAACUCCGUGCCAGCAGCCGCGGUAAUACGGAGGAUCCGAGCGUUAUCCGGAUUUAUUGGGUUUAAAGGGAGCGUAGGUGGACCGGUAAGUCAGUUGUGAAAGUUUGCGGCUCAACCGUAAAAUUGCAGUUGAUACUGUCAGUCUUGAGUACAGUAGAGGUGGGCGGAAUUCGUGGUGUAGCGGUGAAAUGCUUAGAUAUCACGAAGAACUCCGAUUGCGAAGGCAGCUCACUGGACUGCAACUGACACUGAUGCUCGAAAGUGUGNGUAUCAAACAGG
rnacentral:rRNA from 1 species